UCCCGCGUGAAGGACGACGGCCCUAUGGGUUGUAAACUUCUUUUGUACAGGGAUAAACCUACCCUCGUGAGGGUAGCUGAAGGUACUGUACGAAUAAGCACCGGCUAACUCCGUGCCAGCAGCCGCGGUAAUACGGAGGGUGCAAGCGUUAUCCGGAUUUAUUGGGUUUAAAGGGUCCGUAGGCGGAUGUGUAAGUCAGUGGUGAAAUCUCACAGCUCAACUGUGAAACUGCCAUUGAUACUGCAUGUCUUGAGUAAGGUAGAAGUGGCUGGAAUAAGUAGUGUAGCGGUGAAAUGCAUAGAUAUUACUUAGAACACCAAUUGCGAAGGCAGGUCACUAUGUCUUAACUGACGCUGAUGGACGAAAGCGUGGGGAGCGAACAGGAUUACAUACCCUGGUAGUCCACGCCGUAAACGAUGCUAACUCGUUUUUGGGCUUUCGGGUUCAUAGACUAAGCGAAAGUGAUAAGUUAGCCACCUGGGGAGUACGUUCGCAAGAAUGAAACUCACAGGAAUUGACGGGGGCCCGCACAAGCGGUGGAUUAUGUGGUUUAAUUCGAUGAUACGCGAGGAACCUUACCAAGGCUUAAAUGGGAAUUGACAGACGCAGAAAUGUGUUUU
rnacentral:rRNA from 1 species